UGGGGAAUUUUGGACAAUGGGCNCAAGCCUGAUCCAGCCAUGCCGCGUGCAGGAAGAAGGCCUUCGGGUUGUAAACUGCUUUUGUACGGAACGAAAAACUCNGGGUUAAUACCCGGGGGUGAUGACGGUACCGUAAGAAUAAGCACCGGCUAACUACGUGCCAGCAGCCGCGGUAAUACGUAGGGUGCGAGCGUUAUUCGGAAUUACUGGGCGUAAAGCGUGCGCAGGCGGUUUUGUAAGACAGGGGUGAAAUCCCCGGGCUCAACCUGGGAAUGGCCUUUGUGACUGCAAGGCUGGAGUGCGGCAGAGGGGGAUGGAAUUCCGCGUGUAGCAGUGAAAUGCGUAGAUAUGCGGAGGAACACCGAUGGCGAAGGCAAUCCCCUGGGCCUGCACUGACGCUCAUGCACGAAAGCGUGGGGAGCAAACAGGAUUAGAUACCCUGGUAGUCCACGCCCUAAACGAUGUCAACUGGUUGUUGGGUCGUAGCUGACUCAGUAACGAAGCUAACGGAGAAGUGACCGCCUGG
rnacentral:rRNA from 1 species